rnacentral:rRNA from 1 species
CAAAUUUCUGGCCCUAUCAACUUUCGAUGGUAGAGUAGUGGUCUACAUGGUUUCAACGGGUAACGGGGAAUUAGGGUUCUAUUCCGGAGAGGGAGCCUGAGAAACGGUACCACAUCCAAGGAAGGCAGCAGGCGCGCAAAUUACCCAAUCCCGACACGGGGAGGUAGUGACAAUAAAUACUGAUAACAGGGCUCUUUUGGGUCUUGUAAUUGGAAUGAGUACAAUUUAAAUCCCUUACGAGGAACAAUUGGAGGGCAAGUCUGGUGCAGCAACGCGGAUAAUUUCCAGUUCCAAUAGCGUAUAUAAAGUUGUUGCAGUUAAAAAGAUCGUAGUUUGAACCUUGGGCCUUG